GCUCAACAGUGAUGAUACCGACUCAGAAACUGAGUAUCCAUUGCUGCAGUGACAAUGGACACAGUCCUCGAGCCCCCAUCAGAAGCCAGCGAGGGCAGAAGCGCCGGCAGUGCUGAGCGGGAGUCACGGCUGAGGCAACUGGGAUCAGAUGCAGAAGCCCAUGCUCCGAGGGAAUGGAGGGCAUACAAGGCUGAUAGAAGACCUCCUUGCAGGUAAUCUCUAGAAUUACAGAUGCACCUUUUGUCAUAAUUCGGUUUGUCACAGUUUUCAGUUGUGUCUAACUCUCCGUGACCCCAUAUAGGGUU
rnacentral:lncRNA from 1 species